rnacentral:piRNA from 1 species
UGUAUAACAGGCAACUCUCCCUACC